rnacentral:lncRNA from 1 species
AGGCCGUCCUGUAGCCGGGCCGGCUUGGGGCUUGGUUCUAUGUCCCUGCGGGUCGGUGCAAGGGCGAAGAGGAACCCGUGGGCCUCAGGGGAUCCCGGGGGGCCGGACCAGUGUUCCCUAGUUGUGGGAGCAGACGCGUGGGCACAUUGCGGGCGGGCAGGGCCUGAAGUGCAGGUGCGGGCAGUGGACCCUGGCGGGGGCUGGGAGGACAGGCGUGGGGUCCCGGCAGUGAAACGGGUUCUAGAGGCGCAGGAGCAGGUAGGAGAGGCCGGUGGCCCUGGGCCCGGAGUCUGCAGGCCGCGCUCCUGUCCUGCCGCUGAGGGACCCGGUUACCAACCUGCAUGACGCUCAGUUUGCCCAUCUGUCCCAGUGGUAACACACAGUUCUCGGGAGACGUUCCCCAUUCCCAGAGGAGUAGUGUGAAACGCGUGCGCCUCUAGUCUUAAACUUGGCGUUUGUAUUAGUUGGGUUUCCUGGUGUCUCUUUAGCAAGUGAAGUUUCUGGUUCCCUCCUUCACUGUGUGACCUGCCUAGUCCUCCUGGGUCGCAUUUACAGAAGUUUAUACGAGACCUAGUUUCCAGGGAAGAACUCACUGAUUCCGCGAGGGAGAUGGCUUAAUGGAUGAUGGUCGUCAGCCUUAAGGAUACUUCAGUCUUAACUGUGUGUUACAAAGUUUGAAAGGGAGGGUUCCCUAUGAAUAAGAAGCACACUUGAAAGAACAGCCAUCUGGUCUAACCUCUCACUGGUGCUUCAGAGGAGGAAAAAAGGUCACAGCUAUGUUUCCAGUGUCCUCUGGGUGUUUCCAAGAGCAACAAGAAAUGAAUAAAUCUCUGUUGAAGAGAUACCAUUUGACAUUUUAGAGAUGGCUGCAUGCAAACUCUUGAAACAUUUGAGUAAGUACAGUACACCAGGGAGACUCUUAUGACUAUUGGGAUAACACCAAGAUGUGGUAUAUGCUCCUUACUCAGGGUCCCCAUAAAUCAAACCACCAAAAAUCAAAUAGAUUAAAGAAUGAAUUAGAUAAAGGGUUUACUUGCUUAACUAAGUGGUUUUUUUUUGUUAAUUCCCUACAACCAAAUCUUUAUAAUACCCCAUGUUUUCUCCACAUGCUGUAAGUGUUAGCAGCUGCACAGAUACUUAAGAUAAGAGUCUCAUGAUAGUAGAGAAGUCUUGAUCUGUGAUCUUGGGAAAAGCUGUUCACAUUAAGGAUGCCAUCUUCUUCUGGGGGGAACUGUCCGUGUUAGCUUUACCUUAAGGGUUCCAAUAGGCAUAUGGUUCUGAGUGUGGAGGGACCCUUCUGAGUUGUGAGACUAUGAACCCAAAGUUUAAGGUUUUAAAGUUUUGUUGUCAUGUGGAUGGCGAGGGCAGUCCUUCUCUGAUGUUCUCAGAAGAUCCAGUCAUCAGAUUCUAGAUUUUGAAGGGUUUGACUGUCCUCAGUGAACCAUAAAAGGCUUUCUUUACCUGGUGAAAAUACACUUCAGGGUAAUAAUCUACUGUUUUAACAUCAACUCUCUCGCAUGGAAGAGCUUUUAUACAAUCAGAAAACAUGCACUGAAAAUGACAACUGAAUGAAAUCCCUUUAUAAAAUGUUUAAAUGGCCCAUCAGAUAACCAAAUGUACCUAAAGUUUUGAUUGUUUUCCUAGGAAUAUAGGUUUCACAAACCAAACAUUGGUUAUAAACUAUUUUAGCAGUUUAGAAAUCACCACACCAAUAUAUUUAAUUUGGAUCGUUUUCUCUUUCUGUGAUGAGUUAUGGAAUGCAGAACUUUUAAUAACAAAAGUUUUUAGGACUUAAGAAGGAUAAGGUGGCCAUCCUGGUUCUUUAUAGGUCUGUGCUUAAUUAACAUCAGACUUACAUCCUCUUGAAUACCAGCUGUUUCUCCAAAUUAGGUGCAUGGCACUGGUAACUGAUGAGUAGUUAUAGGUAAUUUGAUUUAGACCAUGGAGUUUAUUUAAAUUAUAUAUCUAAACAAUUUCAAUAUUGGUGAUUUAGCAUGAAAAU